rnacentral:tRNA from 1 species
GGAAAUAUGCCCGAACUACAAGGACUACUUUGAUAAAGUACACCACAGAGGUUAAAAUCCUCUUAUUUCCUCU